UACGUAGGGUGCAAGCGUUGUCCGGAAUUAUUGGGCGUAAAGAGCUCGUAGGCGGUCUGUUGCGUCGGCUGUGAAAACCCGGGGCUCAACCCCGGGCCUGCAGCCGAUACGGGCAGACUAGAGUUCGGCAGGGGAGACUGGAAUUCCUGGUGUAGCGGUGAAAUGCGCAGAUAUCAGGAGGAACACCGGUGGCGAAGGCGGGUCUCUGGGCCUUACCUGACGCUCAGGCGCGAAAGCUAGGGGAGCGAACUGG
rnacentral:rRNA from 1 species